GAGGGGUUUAGGGUUUUCUCCUCUCUCUCCCGCCAUCGUAAAAAACAAAGGUGGUGGCGGCCCGUGUCGAGUCGGUGACUCUCUCUCUCUCUCUCUCUCUCCAAAUCCAUUCUUGUGUUUCCUUGUAUGGUGUGUCUCAUCCUUCGCGUGGAGUUGUGAAAUAAAGGAAUCAAACCUAACUGUUCUUGUUUCUCCAGCAGGAUCUACUCAUAUUGGGGAUUAGUAAUAGCUGCUUGUUGGUCUCGAAAUUUAUGUCCUAUUCUUUGUCAAUUUUUAUUUCUUGGUUCCCGAGUGAUGCAUUUGCUCAUCCGUUUGCUAGCAUAUUUGGAUUAUAGCCCCUUGAGUACUUUGCACAAUGUGUGUUUGUGCGGACAAUGUGCUAGGAUAGUAGCCUUAUGGAAUGAUAGUAGAUAAAAACUAGAGUGGGUAUCGUUGCGUUUGCAGGAAAAAAGGAAUGGGAAAGAGAAGCUUGUACUAAGUUGAACUAGACUUGAUUUUUAGCUUGCAAAUGCAUGAGAUAGAGCUUGAUGUCUAACUGAAUCGAAGAACAAACUUGAAAGCUGCAAGUUUUCCACUUUUCAAGAAAAAUGAAUUGGACACCUUUAAAAUGUCAUGACCCUUGACAUGAAACAUGGAGCAUCUGUAGAGAGCCAUUUGCUUUGAUAUGUCUUGAUCUAGUCAAUUCUUAUUUGAUGUUUCUAACUUCAUAGUGAUGCUCAAGAACAAAUUUUCGCUUGCACUUGACAUCAGAAGUAGGAUAAUUUAACUCUUGCAGAUAGGAAUGCUGUACAUAAUUGGGCUGGGUUUGGGCGAUGAGAACGAUAUAACGUCGAAGGGUCUUGAAGCUAUCAAGAGAUGUGACAAAGUCUAUAUGGAGGCCUACACUUCUUUGCUCUCCUUCGGUCUCUCCCCAUCUGGCCUCUCUUCCUUGGAAGAACUAUAUGGAAAGCAAGUUAUCCUGGCAGAUACAGAGAUGGUCGAAGAGGGAGCAGAUGCUAUACUACUUGAAGCCUCUAAACUGCAUGUGGCUUUCCUGGUUGUCGGGGAUCCUUUUGGAGCUACAACUCAUGCUGAUCUGGUUCUUCGGGCAAAAAAAAUAGGUGUAGAAGUUCAGGUGGUUCACAAUGCUUCAGUUGUAAAUGCUGUUGGAGUUUGUGGCUUGCAACUUUAUCGCUAUGGUGAGACUGUAUCGAUCCCAUUCUUCACAAAGACAUGGAGGCCCGACAGCUUUUACGCAAAGAUUAAGAGAAACCGAUCACUGGGUUUGCAUACUCUUUGUCUGUUAGGUAGGACUUAGGAGGUGGUGACUGCUCAGAGGCUGUCGCAGUUUCUGAUCAGUUAUUUAUCCCAUUAUUGUGGGAUAACCAGGGAUAUUGCGAACAGUAGGAGGUAGCGGUCUCUUCAUGCCUGCUCAGCAGUACGUCAUCAUCGCUUAGUUCAGCAACAUACUGUGAACACCUCUCUCUCUCUCUCUCUCUCUAGCUAACUUUCAGAGAGAGAGAGAGAGAGAGAGAGAGAGAGAGAGAGAGAGAACAAUUACAUUGUUCAGAUGAUGGUGAACUGAACACGAAUCGAACAAGAUCACAGUGGCACACGCGGGAGACACUAAAGAAAGGAGAAGCGAGAGAGGUGGUGGAGAAUCGGAUGGAUGCAGCAACUGCCCAAGUGUUUGAAAUGGUGAAAGCAGGAGAAGAGAGCACACUUAACCAAGAAGAGUUCAACAAGCUGAUUAUAGAGAUACUCACCCAUUUGAUGCUCAAAUUAGAAGGAAACCCAGUGACUGUGUCCUCAAACGCUGUGGUAAAUGAACCUAUUACCUCAACACUUGUCAUCACAGUGAAAUCAGCCGGGUGUCGAACGCGAGCGGGCGCGAUGGCCACACAUGGCAGGCAGUGACGACAGCAAGAAGAUGCUCAGUUAUAUAUGAAUUAUUGGUUGUAUUGCAUUAUAUAUUAUGAACGGUUGUGGUGCAUUAUUAAGCUUGUAAUGGAAGAAGAACCCCUAGAAAUAGACCUUUUGUUUCUUUUUGCAAAAGAACGUCUAAAAAAGCUUUUGGUCGGUUCCU